AGAAUGUGCAGGGGAACUGGCUGGAUCUUGUCGGUCCGGAGAAGCCUCUUUCCUGUUCCUCUAUCCUCCUCGCUCUCCGUACCGGCGACUAUUCAUCAGUGAUUUAAUGUGAAGUUGGUCCAGCCGGUACGUUCAGAGGACAUCAACCACAUAGGACAGCUGCCUGUCAAACAUCAUCAUCCUCUGAUCAGAAGCUCAAGCUGCGUCUCGCUGUGCUCCAAUGAAAACCAAGGAUGUUGGACUUGGUUCAUUUUUCCAAUUUCCGAAAAACAUUUCAUUGUUGAAGUUGUCUUGUUUAUUUCGCCAUGCUGCAGCAGAGCCACAAGCUGAUCUGCUGAGUGCUCCAAACGGCCCCUCACAGAUGCCAGAUAUCUCC